rnacentral:rRNA from 1 species
AACAGAUAUCUCGACUCUCAUAUCGAUUAAGAACAAAGCGAAAUGCGAUACUUGGUGUCAAUUGUAGAAUCUCGUGAACCAUCGAGUCUUUGAAAGCAAGUUGCGCCAAAAGCCAUUAGACCGAGGGCAUGUCUGCUUGGGCGUCACACA